GUUGUAUGGUUAAGUGACUAAGCGUACACGGUGGAUGCCUUGGCAGUCAGAGGCGAUGAAAGACGUAGUAACUUGCGAUAAGCCCAGAUUAGGUAGUAACAACCAUUUGAGUCUGGGAUUUCUGAAUGGGGAAACCCACUUACAUAAGUAAGUAUCGUUACCUGAAUACAUAGGGUAACGAGGCGAACCGGGGGAACUGAAACAUCUAAGUACCCCGAGGAAAAGAAAUCAACCGAGAUUCCGAAAGUAGCGGCGAGCGAAAUUGGACUAGCCCUUAAGCUUUACACGCGUUAGACGAACGGUCUGGAAAGUCCGACGAUACAGGGUGAUAGUCCCGUAGUUGACGACGUGUGUUCAGUGAAAUCGAGUAGGGCGGGACACGUGAUAUCCUGUCUGAAUAUGGGGGGACCAUCCUCCAAGGCU
rnacentral:rRNA from 1 species